GAAAUGCGAUAAGUAAUGUGAAUUGCAGAAUUCAGUGAAUCAUCGAAUCUUUGAACGCACCUUGCGCUCCUUGGUAUUCCUUGGAGCAUGCCUGUUUGAGUAUCAUGAAAUCUUCAAAGUAAAUCUUUUGUUAACUCAAUUGGUUUAUACUUUGGUAUUGGAGGUCUUUGCAGCUUCACACCUGCUCCUCUUUGUUCAUUAGCUGGAUCUCAGUGUUAUGCUUGGUUCCACUCGGCGUGAUAAGUUAUCUAUCGCUGAGGACACUGUAAAAGGUGGCCAAGGUAAAUGCAGAUGAACCGCUUCUAAUAGUCCAUUGACUUGGACAAUACUUUUAUGAUCUGAUCUCAAAUCAGGUAGGACUACCCGCUGAACUUAAGC
rnacentral:misc_RNA from 1 species